ACAUUUCUUCCACUACUCCUAUAUUCUGGGUAGUGGUAACUGUUGACUAUCCACUGCCCUUGGAUUUCUUUCUACUAAAGACCCCAUCCUAGGCUAAUAGUUCUCGUUCCCCUCAGUCUGCACAGCAGGUACUCGAUCUGCACCUUGAUGCUUCAACAUGCACUUCUGAUGUUUUGGUCUGCACCCUUGAUGUUUCAACCUACAACCCUGGUUGUUUGGCCUCCUCUCUUGGUGGUUCAACCUGCACCCAUGGUUUUUCGGUUUGCACCACUAAUGCUUUAGCCUGAUUCUUUGGUACUCGGUCUGAAAUUGGCAUCCUUCUAGCUGUUACCUGACAUCUUCGGCCUACUAAUCAAGUACAACUUCGGUCUGCUGACCAAGUACAACUUGGCCUGCCAGCUGAGUAUAACUUCAGCCUACUAGCCGAGUACUUCGGCCUGCUGAUCAAGUUCUUGAUCUGCAUGUUGGUACCUGAUUGAAGGUUACAACCUUUCCAGAAACUUUUAUUUCAGCCUGCACAAGAUGUCCCUUUAAAAGACUUACUACUAUUCAAUCUUAUACUGGAUGACCUUCUGAGGCCUCUUGUUGAUCGGUAUAUGGUCACAGUCAUCAAUAUGAAUGUGGUGUAAACAAGAAUACGCAUGCAUUAUCCCCUAUUGAGGUUCCUGUAAUGAAGUCAUCAACGGGCAUAAGAUUUACCCAAUCUAUUUCUUUGAUUUCACCAUCUAAAGGAAGGAUAUAUGGCUUACUCUUCUUGUGUGUAAUGUGGUCUAUACUUCUGGUUCUCCUCCUUCACCUAAGCUAUUUCUGCAUUUUCAUUCUAUCUUUUUGGUCCAACUCAAUAUAUGAUUAUUAGAUGAACGAUUAGUAUCUUUCUGGUUUCUAUCAUAACUUGGGUAUAUUUCUAAACCUUUCCUGUGAUUUCUUUGCUAUACUUUGUAUCAUAUAUUGGGUUUUUGGGCAUUGCAUCUAAUCGCUUAAAACCACUACGUCAAGUAAUCCUCCCUCUAUUAUUGAAAUAUCUUCCUUCCGUUCCCACUGUCCAACUACUGCAAGGCACUUUGUCGACUAUCGAACAAAUUAUAUCAAAGAGAAACAAAAAGGAAAACACAGGCAAUGAUUCAUAUGCAAGU
rnacentral:lncRNA from 1 species